rnacentral:rRNA from 1 species
GGUUAAGCGACUAAGCGUACACGGUGGAUGCCCUGGCAGUCAGAGGCGAUGAAGGACGUGCUAAUCUGCGAAAAGCGUCGGUAAGGUGAUAUGAACCGUUAUAGCCGGCGAUGUCCGAAUGGGGAAACCCAGUGCAAUUCGUUGCACUAUCGUUAACUGAAUACAUAGGUUAACGAGGCGAACCGGGGGAACUGAAACAUCUAAGUACCCCGAGGAAAAGAAAUCAACCGAGAUUCCCCCAGUAGCGGCGAGCGAACGGGGAGCAGCCCAGAGUCUGAAUCAGCUUGUGUGUUAGUGGAACGGUCUGGAAAGUCCGACGGUACAGGGUGAUAGUCCCGUACACCAAAAUGCACAGGCUGUGAACUCGAAGAGUAGGGCGGGACACGUGGUAUCCUGUCUGAAUAUGGGGGGACCAUCCUCCAAGGCUAAAUACUCCUGACUGACCGAUAGUGAACCAGUACCGUGAGGGAAAGGCGAAAAGAACCCCGGCGAGGGGAGUGAAAAAGAACCUGAAACCGUGUACGUACAAGCAGUGGGAGCACCUUCGGGUGUGACUGCGUACCUUUUGUAUAAUGGGUCAGCGACUUAUAUUCUGUAGCAAGGUUAACCGUAUAGGGGAGCCGCAGGGAAACCGAGUCUUAACUGGGCGUUAAGUUGCAGGGUAUAGACCCGAAACCCGGUGAUCUAGCCAUGGGCAGGUUGAAGGUUGGGUAACACUAACUGGAGGACCGAACCGACUAAUGUUGAAAAAUUAGCGGAUGACUUGUGGCUGGGGGUGAAAGGCCAAUCAAACCGGGAGAUAGCUGGUUCUCCCCGAAAGCUAUUUAGGUAGCGCCUCGUGAACUCAUCUUCGGGGGUAGAGCACUGUUUCGGCUAGGGGGUCAUCCCGACUUACCAACCCGAUGCAAACUACGAAUACCGAAGAAUGUUAUCACGGGAGACACACGGCGGGUGCUAACGUCCGUCGUGAAGAGGGAAACAACCCAGACCGCCAGCUAAGGUCCCAAAGUCAUGGUUAAGUGGGAAACGAUGUGGGAAGGCACAGACAGCCAGGAUGUUGGCUUAGAAGCAGCCAUCAUUUAAAGAAAGCGUAAUAGCUCACUGGUCGAGUCGGCCUGCGCGGAAGAUGUAACGGGGCUAAACCAUGCACCGAAGCUGCGGCAGCGACACUAUGUGUUGUUGGGUAGGGGAGCGUUCUGUAAGCCUGCGAAGGUGUGCUGUGAGGCAUGCUGGAGGUAUCAGAAGUGCGAAUGCUGACAUAAGUAACGAUAAAGCGGGUGAAAAGCCCGCUCGCCGGAAGACCAAGGGUUCCUGUCCAACGUUAAUCGGGGCAGGGUGAGUCGACCCCUAAGGCGAGGCCGAAAGGCGUAGUCGAUGGGAAACAGGUUAAUAUUCCUGUACUUGGUGUUACUGCGAAGGGGGGACGGAGAAGGCUAUGUUAGCCGGGCGACGGUUGUCCCGGUUUAAGCAUGUAGGCUG